GGGCCGUUAACUCAGUAGGUAGAGUAUCUGCCUUUUAAGCAGAGAGUCGAAGGUUCGAGUCCUUCACGGCCCACCA
rnacentral:tRNA from 1 species